UUAUAUAGCACGUGCAAUAGGAGUGACUCGCACAAGCCAGGUGCGCCGGCCGUGUCGUUCCACUCGUAAACAACAGCUGCAACAGAAGUGACUCAUAAGCCAGCUGCGCCGGCUAGUAUAAAAAGGCGGAACGUGCCUUGAAAUGAACAUUCGUUGGACUGCGCUUGCCUGGUGCACUUACUAUAUCCUUGUUACGUUGUGUGAUUCAGUGACUGUUGUACGUACUGGUUAAAGUUGGACAAGUGUUAAAGUGAAUUGUUAAGAUAACAUAUUGUUGAUUAAAUCAGGAAUCAAAAAGUGACAUCGUUUUACUUGGUGUUCAACAAGAUAAUGUCUACCCUCAAGCUUACAUCAGAAGUGAGAUCAGGACCUUACUCUCACUGGCGUGACGUGUUUGAACAUGUUCGAAGUACAGCAAAAAAAACAUGAUGCAGAUCAGAAUACUAGUAGUGGUACGCCACAAGAGCGUGAAUGCAGCAUACGUAAGUCGUGUAAUAACGUCUCUGUUACCUCGAUGGAAGAUCUGAGCCACGAAGAAAUCGUCACAUCUUACGUUCUGGCUCAUGUUGCCCAGUUUGACUGUCGGCAUUUACUAACGGAAAUACAACACGUAACAAGCUAUUGCAAGAAAUUAAGGCAAGUGCAAAUCUUAAGUGAAACUUCGAUCGCAAUAAUGGAUCUGUCAUGACGAGUGGGUAGUUCCGACACGAAUCGUUUUUAAGCCAAUGACUACUGCUAGAGUUACAUGGCUCUAGUACAGUAAACCAGGACAUGAGACUGUGAAUUGUCGCUGAAAUUUUAGAAUCUACUCGAUUCAAUACCAAUAACACUACACGUUCGAUGACUUCGGGCUCCAGCAAGCAAGCAAACAAGAAAGCAAGCAAGUUUCCGUGGGGAAGAAAAAUUGACACAUCUGAAGUCGUCGUGACCUGUAAGAUAAGACGUCCGGUGCGUUCGUGUCUGGCGAUGCGGCGAUGUUCGGGUUCCGGCUGGCGGAUGCAGGUUUUUCCGGUGAAGUGCGUGCUUGUGCGUGCUUGACAAGUGUUCGCGGUUGGCUUCCUCAGUGUGGGAGUAACAUCGUGUAAGAGAGGUGGAACCCGUAAAAUUGUAGUUUGCGUGGUGGCUGGUAAGAUUUGUUGCGGUAAGAAGUUUGCAUGGUGGUAAAAUGUCUUGUGAGUCUGCACAGGUAGCCGGACGUGAGACUUCCGCGGUCGCGGCCCACCCAGUCCGCGAGAACCGGGCAGAUCGCCUCGACGGUACGGAGGCCGGCUGACGGGUCCGCCAAACGACGAGACCACGCCUCCAGCACGGACUGCCGAUAUUGGAGCCCCCGCGCUCCGGCUGCACUUGCGCUAGGGCGCGCCGCCUCGUAGGAGACUGUGAGCCUGCAAAACCUGAACAACCUCCUCAUCCGUGGGCGCCCGGCUCUCGCCUGCAAGUCGGCUGUUACGUGUGCGGUGAUGCGAGCCAUGUAGCUUCUGGGUGUUCCAUGCGCUACAAGAAGAAAAACGACACUGCUCCAGGUGCUGUGGCAGGUCCAACCAGAGACGUCAACGUGUGUUCCGGAGCUUCAGUGUGUUACAGAUAAGUGGUUUUGGCUUCCCCUUUAUGUUCCAUUCAGGGUCAGAAUGUAGUCUUAUAAAACAAAGUCAUAGUAAUUUAUUCAAUGGUAAGCGGUUUCAUGAACAAGUCACUCUUUGAUCUGAAAGUAACUUAGACCAAUCAUGAUGGCAAGAGCACUUAGGGGAUAUUCAACUCGCCCUUAAUAGUGCACGUUGUCGAGUAACAGGGUUUACUCCAAUAGAAUAGACGUUUGCCGUUCAGGGUAGUUCACUUGAAAUAUCUUAAAGUUUCAACAGAGUGAUAAUCCCUCUAGAUUAGAUCUUGAUUUAGCACGGUCGAAGACCGACGAAAACAUAAAAAAAGGGCACAAACAGAAGCUUGGUUUAGUCGAGGCAAAACUAAAGUCAAACUCUUUUCCGCUGGGGAUUUUGUUUUCGUAAGUUGACCGAAAAUGUAAAGGUCCCUUCAACAUUACUGCAGUUUUGGAAAACGAUAGGUAUAAAUUGAGACAUGUAAAUAGUUCUAAUAGAGUGUACAAAUUUCCACAUGAAAACUUACGUGAAAUACCUCGAGGCCCGUCAGGCCUACUAGAAAUUUCUAAAAAUUAUAGUGACGAUGACGUGACGGCGUACACAGAUGGGUUAAUUAAUCUUGUUCAUGAAACUGAUCUUAAUGAUGACGACUCUAUCACUGACAAUAGAAGCGACAUUUUUGUCCGCAAAUAGCGAUACAGCAAACAUAGUCUGUGGGUAGUGAUACAAUGUCUGUAAGCUCAGGCACCUCAGGUGCAGGUGUUGGAAAUGUAGAAAACGAUGGUCGGUCUCGCACUAUUUCUGAAGAAAUUCCGUAUAAAUGUUCUGGUUUAAGAAAUGUUUUAACAAACGCUACCGUACACGCAGAUUAAAAAAAAAAAAAAAAAAGAGAAUUGUAUGUGGCUAGAGAGAUGUUAAUCCGGACUAGCAAAAAAAAAAAAGAGAAAAAAAAGAAAGUGUGAAGUCAUUGAAGAGUCUGUCCGGUCCAAUGGCUUGGCUAUAGGGAUUUUCAUCCAGAUUAGCCGCAACAAUUAGCUACAGGGAUUGCGAUUCGGUCUAGCAUUAUCCGGUCCAGUUCGAAAGUUAAAAGGGACAUACUUACAUACCUGAAGAGUUUUUGAACUGGCCCAGGUAUGUAAGCAGUCUGAAGUUUAUUUAUAGCCAGUAUAGGAUUUUCUGAAGAAUUAUGCGAACCGAACCGUACUAGAUUGUUAAUAUCAUAGACCACGUUUUAAGUUGCAUCCGUUAAUGUCAGGAUGAACGAACACGUUUGUUGUUCACAGACAUACCAUAAGAAUGCGCGCACGAGGACGAGCGCACGUCAGUAUGGCCGUGACGGCGUUAACGAUAUUUAUGUUAUAUAGCACGUGCAAUAGGAGUGACUCACACAAGCCAGGUGCGCCGGCCGUGUCGUUCCACUCGUAAACAACAGCUGCAACAGAAGUGACUCAUAAGCCAGCUGCGCCGGCUAGUAUAAAAAGGCGGAACGUGCUUUGAAAUGAACAUUCGUUGGACUGCGCUUGCCUGGUGCACUUACUAUAUCCUUGUUACGUUGUGUGAUUCAGUGACUGUUGUACGUACUGGUUAAAGUUGGACAAGUGUUAAAGUGAAUUGUUAAGAUAACAUAUUGUUGAUUAAAUCAGGAAUCAAAAAG